UGCAAGUCGAACGAGAAAGCCGCAAGGCAAGUAAAGUGGCGUACGGGUGAGUAACACGUGGAUAAUCUGCCUUUUAGUGGGGAAUACCGUUGGGAAACCGACGACAAUACCGCAUAAUCCCGAGAGGGGAAAGCAGCAAUGCGCUGAAAGAGGAGUCCGCGGUCGAUUAGUUAGUUGGCGGGGUAAAAGCCCACCAAGACUGUGAUCGAUAGCCGGCCUGAGAGGGCACACGGCCACACUGGCACUGAAACACGGGCCAGACUCCUACGGGAGGCAGCAGUGGGGAAUCUUGCACAAUGGGGGAAACCCUGAUGCAGCGACGCCGCGUGAGCGAUGAAGCCCUUCGGGGUGUAAAGCUCUUUCGUCGGGGAAGACAAUGACGGUACCCGGAGAAGCAGCUGCGGCUAACUACGUGCCAGCAGCCGCGGUAAUACGUAGGCAGCAAGCGUUGUUCGGAGUUACUGGGCGUAAAGGGUGCGUAGGCGGCUAUUUAAGUUUGGUGUGAAAUCUCCCGGCUCAACCGGGAGGGUGCGCCGAAUACUGAGUGGCUAGAGUGCGGGAGAGGAAAGUGGAAUUCCUGGUGUAGCGGUGAAAUGCGUAGAUAUCAGGAGGAACACCGGUGGUGUAAACGGCUUUCUGGACCGUAACUGACGCUGAGGCACGAAAGCGUGGGUAGCAAACAGGAUUAGAUACCCUGGUAGUCCACGCCCUAAACGAUGCAUAUUUGGUGUGGGCCAUUCAUUUGGUCUGUGCCGGAGCUAACGCGUUAAAUAUGCCGCCUGGGGAGUACAGUCGCAAGGCUGAAACUCAAAGGAAUUGACGGGGACCCGCACAAGCGGUGGAGCAUGUGGUUUAAUUCGACGCAACGCGAAGAACCUUACCUGGGCUCGAAAUGCUAAGGACCAGCUUAUGAAAGUAGCCUUCCCGCAGGGAU
rnacentral:rRNA from 1 species